rnacentral:lncRNA from 1 species
GGGGAUCUAUCUUGCGGCAUAAUUAGAACUGUGAAGGUGAAGACAAUGUGUGUGACUUCUAGAUGGAAAGAACAAAGUGCAACCAUCAAAGGGCUGUGACCACAUGAGUGUGACAGAAGUAAAAGAAUAAAAGGUUGGAAAUUACCUUCAGCUCUCUUUGAAAAUGGCUUCACUGUCUUCAUUUCUCUUCAAUCUGUUGUCAAAACCCAACUACAGCACAUGGAGAAAUAAGAAAGGAUUAUUUCAGUUUAUCCUGAGGAAGAUAAACUGGGUCAACGAG